rnacentral:rRNA from 1 species
AGGACCGCCGUAAUGAUUAAUAGGGACAGUCGGGGGCAUCAGUAUUCAAUUGUCAGAGGUGAAAUUCUUGGAUUUAUUGAAGACUAACUACUGCGAAAGCAUUUGCCAAGGAUGUUUUCAUUAAUCAGGAACGAAAGUUAGGGGAUCGAAGACGAUCAGAUACCGUCGUAGUCUUAACCAUAAACUAUGCCGACUAGGGAUCGGACGAUGUUAUUUUUUGACGCGUUCGGCACCUUACGAGAAAUCAAAGUGCUUGGGCUCCAGGGGGAGUAUGGUCGCAAGGCUGAAACUUAAAGAAAUUGACGGAAGGGCACCACCAGGGGUGGAGCCUGCGGCUUAAUUUGACUCAACACGGGGAAACUCACCAGGUCCAGACACAAUGAGGAUUGACAGAUUGAGAGCUCUUUCUUGAUUUUGUGGGUGGUGGUGCAUGGCCAUUCUUAGUUGGUGGAGUGAUUUGUCUGCUUAAUUGCGAUAACGAACGAGACCUUAACCUGCUAAAUAGCCCGUAUUGCUUUGGCAGUACGCUGGCUUCUUAGAGGGACUAUCGGCUCAAGCCGAUGGAAGUUUGAGGCAAUAACAGGUCUGUGACGCCCUUAGAUGUUCUGGACCGCACGCGCGCUACACUGACGGAGCCAGCGAGUACUCCCUUGGCCGGAAGGCCCGGGUAAUCUUUAAUCCCCU